UACAGAGGUCCCAAGCGUUGUUCGGAUUCACUGGGCGUAAAGGGUGCGUAGGUGGUGAGGUAAGUCGGAUGUGAAAUCUCCGAGCUCAACUCGGAAAUGGCAUUGGAAACUACCUUGCUCGAGGGUUGGAGGGGGGACUGGAAUGCUUGGUGUAGCAGUGAAAUGCGUAGAUAUCAAGUGGAACACCAGUGGCGAAGGCGAGUCUCUGGACAUUUCCUGACGCUGAGGCACGAAAGCCAGGGGAGCAAACGGG
rnacentral:rRNA from 1 species